AACGGCCAUACCAUGCUGAAUAUACCGGUUCUCGUUAGAUCACCGAAGUCAAGCAUCAUUGGGCGCGGUCAGUACUUGGGUGGGUGACCACCUGGGAACACCGCGUG